CCUACGAGUGGCAGCAGUCGGGAAUAUUUCGCAAUGGAGGAAACUCUGACGCAGUGACGCCGCGUGCAGGCAGACGGUUUUCGGAUUGUAAACUGCUUUAGACAGGGAAGAAACAAGACAGUACCUGUAAAAUAAGCUCCGUCUAACUACGUGCCAGCAUCCGCGGUAAUACGUAGGGCGCAAGCGUUAUCCGGAUUUAUUGGGUGUAAAGGGUGCGUAGACGGGAAGUCAAGUUGGUUGUGCAAUCCCUCGGCUUAACUGAGGAACUGCAACCAAAACUAACUUUCUUGAGUGCUGGAGAGGAAAGUGGAAGUCCUAGUGUAGCGGUGAAAUGCGUAGAUAUUAGGAGGAACACCAGUGGAGAAGGCGACUUUCUGGACAGUAACUGACGUUGAGGCACGAAAGUGUGGGGAGCAAACAGGAGUAGAUACCCCAGGAGUC
rnacentral:rRNA from 1 species